rnacentral:rRNA from 1 species
UACAGAGGUCUCAAGCGUUGUUCGGAUUCAUUGGGCGUAAAGCGUGUGUAGGCGGAUUGGUAAGUACCUUGUGAAAUCCCACGGCUUAACCGUGGAACUGCUUGGUAUACUGCUUAUCUUGGGCCACUUAGGGGCUACCGGAACAAACGGUGGAGCGGUGAAAUGCGUAGAUAUCGUUUGGAACGCCAAUGGUGAAAACAGGUAGCUGGGAGUGUGCCGACGCUGAGACACGAAAGCCAGGGGAGCGAACGGG